AGCAGCCGCGGUAAUUCCAGCUCCAAUAGCGUAUAUUAAAGUUGUUGCAGUUAAAAGCUCGUAGUUGAAUUUCGGGAUUGACGUGAUGGUCGUGCCUUAAGGGUAUGAACUGUCGCUGUUGAUUUCUCACCUUCUGGAGAAACUUGAUGUCCUUAAUUGGGUGUCUUGCGGAUCCAGGACCUUUACCUUGAAAAAUUGAGUGUUUAAAGCAGGCAUUUUUGCUCGAAUACAUUAGCAUGGAAUAAUAGAAUAGGACGGCAUGGUUCUAUUUUGUUGGUCUCUAGGAUCACCGUAAUGAUUAAUAGGGAUAGUUGGGGGCAUUAGUAUUCAAUUGUCAGAGGUGAAAUUCUUGGAUUUAUUGAAGACUAACUACUGCGAAAGCAUUUGCCAAGGAUGUUUUCAUUAAUCAAGACGAAAGUUAGGGAUCGAAGACGAUCAGAUACCGUCGUAGUCUUAACCAUAAACUAUGCCGACUAGGAAUCAGACGAUGUUAAUUUUUAUGUACUCGUUUA
rnacentral:misc_RNA from 1 species